rnacentral:tRNA from 1 species
GGUGGCUCAGUGGUAGAGCAUUUGCCUUGUAUGCAUGAGGCCUUGGGUUCAAUUCCCCAACACCA